rnacentral:rRNA from 1 species
AUGUGGGGAGGUUCGAUACAAUACAUAACACCCAUGUUAUUGGUAGGGUUCAUCUUUUUGUUCACCAUAGGAUGGCUCACUGGAAUAGUUCUAGCAAACUCUAGGCUAGACAUUGAUCUACAUGAUACUUAUUAUAUGGCGUUUGCACAUUUCCAUUAUGUAUUUUCUAUGGGAGCCAUUUUUGCUUUAUUGCUAGAUUUUACUAUUGGGUGGGUAAAAUCUUUGGUUGGACAUAUCCUGAAACUUUAG